ACUAUCGUUAACUGAAUACAUAGGUUAACGAGGCGAACCGGGGGAACUGAAACAUCUAAGUACCCCGAGGAAAAGAAAUCAACCGAGAUUCCCCCAGUAGCGGCGAGCGAACGGGGAGCAGCCCAGAGUCUGAAUCAGCUUGUGUGUUAGUGGAACGGUCUGGAAAGUCCGACGGUACAGGGUGAUAGUCCCGUACACCAAAAUGCACAGGCUGUGAACUCGAAGAGUAGGGCGGGACACGUGGUAUCCUGUCUGAAUAUGGGGGGACCAUCCUCCAAGGCUAAAUACUCCUGACUGACCGAUAGUGAACCAGUACCGUGAGGGAAAGGCGAAAAGAACCCCGGCGAGGGGAGUGAAAAAGAACCUGAAACCGUGUACGUACAAGCAGUGGGAGCACCUUCGGGUGUGACUGCGUACCUUUUGUAUAAUGGGUCAGCGACUUAUAUUCUGUAGCAAGGUUAACCGUAUAGGGGAGCCGCAGGGAAACCGAGUCUUAACUGGGCGUUAAGUUGCAGGGUAUAGACCCGAAACCCGGUGAUCUAGCCAUGGGCAGGUUGAAGGUUGGGUAACACUAACUGGAGGACCGAACCGACUAAUGUUGAAAAAUUAGCGGAUGACUUGUGGCUGGGGGUGAAAGGCCAAUCAAACCGGGAGAUAGCUGGUUCUCCCCGAAAGCUAUUUAGGUAGCGCCUCGUGAACUCAUCUUCGGGGGUAGAGCACUGUUUCGGCUAGGGGGUCAUCCCGACUUACCAACCCGAUGCAAACUACGAAUACCGAAGAAUGUUAUCACGGGAGACACACGGCGGGUGCUAACGUCCGUCGUGAAGAGGGAAACAACCCAGACCGCCAGCUAAGGUCCCAAAGUCAUGGUUAAGUGGGAAACGAUGUGGGAAGGCACAGACAGCCAGGAUGUUGGCUUAGAAGCAGCCAUCAUUUAAAGAAAGCGUAAUAGCUCACUGGUCGAGUCGGCCUGCGCGGAAGAUGUAACGGGGCUAAACCAUGCACCGAAGCUGCGGCAGCGACACUAUGUGUUGUUGGGUAGGGGAGCGUUCUGUAAGCCUGCGAAGGUGUGCUGUGAGGCAUGCUGGAGGUAUCAGAAGUGCGAAUGCUGACAUAAGUAACGAUAAAGCGGGUGAAAAGCCCGCUCGCCGGAAGACCAAGGGUUCCUGUCCAACGUUAAUCGGGGCAGGGUGAGUCGACCCCUAAGGCGAGGCCGAAAGGCGUAGUCGAUGGGAAACAGGUUAAUAUUCCUGUACUUGGUGUUACUGCGAAGGGGGGACGGAGAAGGCUAUGUUAGCCGGGCGACGGUUGUCCCGGUUUAAGCAUGUAGGCUGGUUAUCCAGGCAAAUCCGGAUAAUCAAGGCUGAGGUGUGAUGACGAGGCACUACGGUGCUGAAGUAACAAAUGCCCUGCUUCCAGGAAAAGCCUCUAAGCAUCAGGUAACAUCAAAUCGUACCCCAAACCGACACAGGUGGUCAGGUAGAGAAUACCAAGGCGCUUGAGAGAACUCGGGUGAAGGAACUAGGCAAAAUGGUGCCGUAACUUCGGGAGAAGGCACGCUGGUGUGUAGGUGAAGCCCCUGCGGGUGGAGCUGAGACCAGUCGAAGAUACCAGCUGGCUGCAACUGUUUAUUAAAAACACAGCACUGUGCAAACACGAAAGUGGACGUAUACGGUGUGACGCCUGCCCGGUGCCGGAAGGUUAAUUGAUGGGGUUAUCCGUAAGGAGAAGCUCUUGAUCGAAGCCCCGGUAAACGGCGGCCGUAACUAUAACGGUCCUAAGGUAGCGAAAUUCCUUGUCGGGUAAGUUCCGACCUGCACGAAUGGCGUAAUGAUGGCCAGGCUGUCUCCACCCGAGACUCAGUGAAAUUGAACUCGCUGUGAAGAUGCAGUGUACCCGCGGCAAGACGGAAAGACCCCGUGAACCUUUACUAUAGCUUGACACUGAACAUUGAGCCUUGAUGUGUAGGAUAGGUGGGAGGCUUUGAAGCGUGGACGCCAGUCUGCGUGGAGCCAACCUUGAAAUACCACCCUUUAAUGUUUGAUGUUCUAACGUUGGCCCCUUACCGGGGUUGCGGACAGUGUCUGGUGGGUAGUUUGACUGGGGCGGUCUCCUCCCAAAGCGUAACGGAGGAGCACGAAGGUUAGCUAAUCCUGGUCGGACAUCAGGAGGUUAGUGCAAUGGCAUAAGCUAGCUUGACUGCGAGCGUGACGGCGCGAGCAGGUGCGAAAGCAGGUCAUAGUGAUCCGGUGGUUCUGAAUGGAAGGGCCAUCGCUCAACGGAUAAAAGGUACUCCGGGGAUAACAGGCUGAUACCGCCCAAGAGUUCAUAUCGACGGCGGUGUUUGGCACCUCGAUGUCGGCUCAUCACAUCCUGGGGCUGAAGUAGGUCCCAAGGGUAUGGCUGUUCGCCAUUUAAAGUGGUACGCGAGCUGGGUUUAGAACGUCGUGAGACAGUUCGGUCCCUAUCUGCCGUGGGCGCUGGAGAAUUGAGGGGGGCUGCUCCUAGUACGAGAGGACCGGAGUGGACGCAUCACUGGUGUUCGGGUUGUCAUGCCAAUGGCACUGCCCGGUAGCUAAAUGCGGAAGAGAUAAGUGCUGAAAGCAUCUAAGCACGAAACUUGCCCCGAGAUGAGUUCU
rnacentral:rRNA from 1 species